GCCUGGGUGGCUCAGAUGGUUAAGCGUCUGCCUUUGGCUCAGGUCAUGAUCCUUGAGCCGUGGGAUUGAGUCCCACAUCAGGCU
rnacentral:tRNA from 1 species